GUAAAGAUUUUAAGGGCGUACGGCGGAUGCCUUGGCGAUAUCAGCCGAAGAA
rnacentral:rRNA from 1 species